UACGGGGGGGGCAAGCGUUGUUCGGAUUCACUGGGCGUAAAGGGUGCGUAGGUGGCGAGGUAAGUCGGAUGUGAAAGCUCGGAGCUCAACUCCGAAAUGGCAUUGGAAACUACCUUGCUCGAGGGUUGGAGGGGGGACUGGAAUACUUGGUGUAGCAGUGAAAUGCGUAGAUAUCAAGUGGAACACCAGUGGCGAAGGCGAGUCCCUGGACAACUCCUGACACUGAGGCACGAAAGCUAGGGGAGCAAACAGG
rnacentral:rRNA from 1 species